rnacentral:rRNA from 1 species
GUAGUCUCGCACAGAUGCAUAUCAAUAAGCGGAGGAAAAGAAACUAACAAGGAUUCCCUUAGUAACGGCGAGUGAAGCGGGAAGAGCUCAAAUUUGAAAUCUUCAAGGUUUUACCUUGACGAAUUGUAGUUUAAAGAAGUGUUUUCUGUUGAAGUUUUGGUAAAAGUUCUUUGGAAUAGGGACAUCAUAGAGGGUGAGAAUCCCGUAUUUGACCAUUAUUUUCAGCUGUGUGAUACACUUUCAAAGAGUCGGAUUGUUUGGGAAUGCAGUCCAAAAUGGGUGGUAAAUUUCAUCUAAAGCUAAAUAUUGGCGAGAGACCGAUAGCGAACUAAGUACCGUGAGGGAAAGAUGAAAAGAACUUUGAAAAGAGAGUUAAACAGUACGUGAAAUUGUCAAAAGGGAAGCGUUUGACACCAGUGUUGUUUUCUCGAAAAUCAAUUAAAAAGAGUUAGAUUUUGUUGUGUAUCGACCCUAACAGCUUGCAUUUCAAUUUUCUUGCUUUUUUUAAUGCACUUUUCGUUUAACAAGUCAACAUCAGUUUCUUUUGUUGUAAAAAGGUCAUUGGAAGGUGGCUUUCUUUUCGGAGAAAGUGUUUAUAGCCUUUGACUCCUGCAAUCGGAGAGACUGAGGUCUGCAGCGUAGAUCCUUCGGGGUUAGACACAUUUGUGCUAAGUUAUAGCUUUUUAUAGACAACUUGUUGACUAUGAUUAGUCUUGUAGCUUACUCGCUUAUGCUAUUUUACCUACGCUUAGGAUGUUGAGCGCAUGUCUCUCUCU